UCCUGGUAGCUGAUCAUCACCCCGU
rnacentral:piRNA from 1 species